rnacentral:rRNA from 1 species
UACAGAGGUCCCGAGCGUUGUUCGGAUUCACUGGGCGUAAAGGGUGCGUAGGUGGUGAGGUAAGUCGGAUGUGAAAUCUCCGGGCUCAACCCGGAAAUGGCAUUGGAAACUACCUUGCUGGAGGAUUUGAGGGGGGGAUUGGAAUACUUGGUGUAGCAGUGAAAUGCGCAGAUAUCAGGAGGAACACCAAUUGCGAAGGCAGCUCGCUGGGACGUUACUGACGCUGGAGACGCGAAAGCGUGGGGAGCAAACAGG